CAUUCUGGUAGGUAGUCUAAGGAAUGAAAAGUACACAAGGCUACCCUUUCAGCCAAACAAAAUGAUUGAAGGAAAACUUUUAGCAGAUUAUUCCUGGGGGGAAAUACUCAAUUCUGUCCAGGUCCAGUGGGUCCUGACUUGGGGAUGGUAGGUGCUUUUUCUUUACAGUUGGAAUCACGGAGUCAAGAGAACCUUGGGAGAGAAGGUCAUGUGGACUACUCUCCUUAUUGCAGAAUGAAGAAAUGAAAACAGGGUCUAAUGUGAUCUGCUCAAGGUGAAUAAGGGCUGGAGUUCAAGCUGGGCUCUCUUGCCUUCUGGAAAGUAUUUUUCAGCUUAAUGGGAGUUAACAUCCAAGACUGAAGUUGGAUGGAGAAAGGGGCAGGAGGCACUUGCUAACAAACCCCAUAUUAAGCACAUUACAUCUUCUAAUGACCUGUAGCAGUGAACUUCUGGACCGUGGCCUUAUAAGGAGAGAGAGAACAGUCUGAAACAUGCGAGGACACAGCAAGAAGGUGGCUGUCUACAAGCCAGGAAGAGAGCCCUCACCAGAAUGUGACUGUGCUGGACGUCGACUUGAGAUUUCUAGAAUCUAGAACUGUGAGCAAGUAAAUUUUUGUUGCUUAAGUCACCUAGUCUAUAGUAUUUUGUUAUGGUAGCCCGAGCUAAUACAGUAAGGAAUAUGUAUAAAUGCAUGCAAUUUAAUUCCUGCCUUUAAACAAUAUUUUUAUCCCUUUUAAAAAAUUAUUUUAUUUCAUUUUUAUGAGACGGGGUCUUGCUCUGUCACCUAGGCUAGAGUGCAGUGGUACAAUCAUAGCUUACCGCAGCCUUGACCUCCUGGGCUCAAGCAAUCCUCCCACCCCAGCCUCCCUAGUACCUGGGACUGCAGGCACAUGCCACCACACCCAGCUAAUCUUUCUGAUUAUUAGUAGAGAUGAGAUCUUGCUAUGUUGCCCAGGCUGGUCUUGAACUCCUGGGCUCAAGCAAUCUGCCUGCCUCAGCCUCCCAAAGUGCUGGGAUUACAGGCAUCAGCUACCAUGCCCGGCCUACUUUAAUCACGUGUAUAAAAACAAAUCACCUAUAAUCCCACCAAUUAGAAGUAUUAACCAUCCAGACUUGUGAUCUGUUAAUGUAUGUAUCUUCCUACAAAGAUGGAUUAUACCGUUCAUACCUAUUUUCAACUUCAAGUAUUAUCUUACCUCCCCCUUUCUAAGGGCUCACAUUCUUAAAUAAUCAGUGGGAUUACAUGAAGUGGAAGCUGUUUUCUCUGCUAUAGCUUAAAGUUUCAAAAUCAAAACAGUAGGUAGGUCAACUCUGAUCAAGUGCCAGUGAGGUGACACAGUCACAGGGCUUAGUGUAGCCAGAGGAUCUGAGCCUUGGAAGUGACCAUGUUAGUCACCAGUACCUUAUCUCCUGCCUGAGGCAAUUGUCCAGUAGAGUCGCUCAACCCCUUGCAGUGAUAUGCUGCUUAUAUUGUGCCCAAACGUGCCUCCCUGUAGCUUCUAUCCAAUAGUCUUGGGAUUGUGUGCUGGAGACUAGAGAGGGUAGUUAAUCCAUCCUCCAGAAUUUGAAGUCAGCUGUUGUGUGCCUGCCCGUGUAUCUCCAAGUCUUCUGCAGCUGACUAUUCUCAGAUCCUUCAGACCCAAAUUACAUACACGGGAAACCAUCCUGGUUGCAGAUCUGCUCAGAUUUGCUAAUUAUCAGGUCUCUGAAUCCUGGUAAUAAUCCUAUCAUCCAACACAUUUGCUUCCCUUUCUGUGUUGUCAUUUGCAAAUUUGAUAAAGAUGCUAUUUAUCUAUGAUAGGUUCAGCAACCUCUUCAUUUGCACACUAAUGAAGCUCAAAGGAAAGCAAGAACAUUGUCAGGUGACCUGAGGUUGAACAAUAACUCCUGGUUAGUUGCAUCUGGUAGCCAUCCUUUUCAUUAAAGUCUUGAUUUGUACUCUGGGUAUUGUAAGUGUUAAACUGAGUGGGAGCAGAUGAGAAGUGCGUGGUGGGAGGUGAAAGACAUAUAAUUACUAAGUGACUACUCAUACAGAAAUGAGACAGGAAAAACUGCAGUUGCUCAUCUGCAGUAGUUUUGCCCCACGUUUCUCAAGUAUUUAAUGUUGGGCUACUCUUUUAGUCACUAGGUUUACUUGUCUUUUCAAUCAGGGGGAGAUUUUUUUCUAAAUAAGCAAAGACUGAGAUUUAGGUCCCUGAAUCUAUCUAUUCUCUGCAGAACUGGCAGUUCCAGGGCUUUGUUGUAGCAGUUGCAUUUAUAUGGAAAGGAAAGGCUGAAGUUAAAUAAUUGUCUUCUUUUAUGCAUCUACAUCCUUUGGUAAUCACUGGUCAGUGGCUUUACACCUUUAUUCUGUCAGUAUACAUAGGCAGAUAUGACUUUAAUUACUAAGAACAGAAAAGGAUGAAAUGUCAGAAAGAAAAAAUAUACUGAAAAUUAAAAGAGAAAAAUCAGCCAAAUAAAACUUCAUGCCUAAUUCAUCUUUGCAAAGGGUAAAAAAGUUUCAUUUAGUAUCAUGGCUUAAAAUUCCCAUGAAACUGUACAGGCCAGUGAGUUUUAUAAACACUCUUAGAAUUUAACCAAUGCAUAUUCAUACCUAAAAAGAAUACCUUGCCUUUGGAUCUGUUUGAACUUGGGCAAGUGACAAUCUUUUGUGGUUCAGGUUCUUCCUCCAUAAAAAUGGAGAUAAUAACAUUACUUCACAGAGAUCUUAUGAAAGGUAAUUGAAGUGUUCUUUGUAAAGCACUUAGAACAAUGCCUGGCACAGUCGCCAGUCCGUGGUGACUCUUUUUAUUACUAUAGCAAUGCCUGGUUUAAUUGACACCAACAAAUAUGAGUGUUGGCUAUAUGGGUGGUAAUGAAAGAGAGUGCGAUAAACUGGCAAGGUAAGAAGUAGGGUAAGUUCAUUCAAUCUUCUGGUUAAUACAUGCCACGUGGACUCUACCAAUGUUUGAGGGAUUGCUAUUUUCAGUAAUAAUAAUUGUAAUUAGUCUUCGGCUUUACCAUUGAACUGAAUAUGUUGUUGUCCCCAGUCAUAUCAAAUGGUGACGAAACAUCUCUAAAGAGCCAGGAAAAACUACUGACAGAACUGUGUUGUCACUAACUAAAUGCAAAGGUAUUGAUUAAUGGAAUCAUGAAAAUGUCUAAUAUAUAACUGGAUGUUUUAUGUGUGGAAACCACACUCAGAUGGCAACUUUCCCUCUAAAAGCCAUAUCCUCUUUUAGUUCUCUGGAACUGCACCUUUGUUUUACACUGAAGUCUGCACCUCCAUGGUGUGCAAACUGUUCACAGGAAUAGUCUCUUUCCUCCAAAUUCCGUUUCAGAGAACUUUUCUUCACAAUAUGAUGCAAGAGGUAGGAGACAUGCUUACUCACAGCUUUGGAUUCAUAUUCUGAAAUCACCACAAUCACAAUAAAAUGAAAAAUCAAACGAAGAAAUGAAAAGUAGACAAAAACUUGAAACUAAUUUUCUCCUCAAUUUACAAGGCUGAACAGCUAGGAGGGCAUUUAUUGGUUCAGGACUGGUCACCUGCUCACAUUCUGAGCCAAUGGCUGAGGCCCAGGGCUGAAGAUACUUCAUUAGUUGAGCCAGUGGAGAGUGGGGUUUGGGUGCUCUCAUUGGAUACUUCCAUCCUAAGUGAUGCAUACUCAGAAGACAUUAAGCUUUGCAUUAAAAAUGAUUGUAGACUGGGAAAUAAUAGAAUUAGAGAAAUGUGAAUGAGUUAGAGUCCUUACUUAAGUUUCUCGGAAGCUUGAAAAGGGUGCUGUUCACUUAAUUUUUGAUUUAGUUAUUUCUGCACUGUGGGUUUUUGUUAUGUAUUUAAAUGAAUUCUGUAAUAGAGGUAAUGUUGAAAAAAGAUUGUAUGAGGUCUGCUUGUUCCAUUAGUAAUGUUUGUCUCAGUUUGAUGCGUCUGAAUUGUUAUUUAGAGCAGUAAACUAUUUCUCUUAUCUUUUUGUGUGUAAUGCAAUUUAAUAACAUUUCAGAUACAAAUUUGUAAUCACAUUUAUAAAUAAGCUGCUCAGAUUUUUUUUUUAGUAUGCAUCCUUCAAUGGGUAUCAACAUCAUGUUAUAUUUUCUUGAAAUAAGUUUUGUUGGCUGCACACAGUAGCUCAUGCCUGUAAUCCCAGCACCUUGGGAGGUCAAGGCAGGAGGAGAGUUUGAGUCCAGGAAUUCGAGACCAGCCUGGGGAAACAUGGUGAAACCUGGUCUUUACAAAAAAAAUACAAAAAUUAGCCGGGCGUGAUGGUGUGCACCUCUAGUCCCAGCUACUUGGGAGGCUGAGGUGGGAGAAUAAUUUGAACCCAAGAGGCAGAGCUUGCAGUGAGAUGAGUUCACGCUGCUGCACUCCAGCCUGGGCGACAGCAAGACUCUGUCUUUAAAAAAAAAAAUUCUCUUUAAACCGAGAUCCAUCUUAUUAACAAUAAAUCACCUGAUCUUAAAAGUCUGACAAGAAACAACAUUGGAAUUUGGGAUGGUAACUUCUUGGUGACCUCCAUUUCUUCAAUUCUUCUUAAUCAUUAAAUCCUUGUUUGGUUCAAUUUCUGGUGUUUAUGUUUUACAUUUAUAUAUUUGAGAAAUGUUUCUGAAUGUAUUAUCAUAGAUUCUUGAAGUGUAUUUUUUUAACUCCAAAAUGUUUCCAAUUUCAUAGAUUCAAUUUUUCUCCAUAAGGAGGUUUCUUAGUGAAUUGGGGUAUUGUUUUCUUCACCCAACACCACUUACUCACCAACACUAACAUUCAGAGUGUUUUGGGGAUCAAAAUACUGUUAAGAAAACAAUUUUAAAUUUCGUAUGUGUUUAAGGAUUUGUAAUAUUUUUACAAGCAUCUCAAUUUCUGUUUGUGCUGUCUGCUUGGAGCCUGUGGUUUGGCCAUUGUUCCUUAUGCACAUUCACUGAAGGUGUUGAUCAGCACUGAAGACAGGAGCCAGAUGGCCAGGUCCUUUGAUGCCCAGGAGCUCUCGACCGCCAUGUCAGGGAGUUCCUGCUCAAGCCAGGGUGGCUUAGCCCAGAAUAACAGUAUAUUCUGAGAUGGGUAAGAAAUGGUCCACAAGUGGCCACCGUCAUUCCUCCAAAAUAAUGGACUUGGGCUCAGGAGGUCAAGCCCUCUUCAAGGAGCAUGAGCUGAAAUUGCUAAACUUUGGGAGUUUUCAGUGACACCCUUCAAAGUGCUCACGGUGUGGCAUGGAUCAGCUGGGGAGAGCUGAUACGGUUUUGCCCUGUUGGGUAUCUAUCUGUGUCCCUUUGUCUGAGGUAGGCAACCGGGGCCACUUAGGCCCGCAGAUGCCCACCGUGAUUGGUUGACAUGAUGCCAAGCAACAGGAUCAUCCAAUCACCUUCAAUGCAGGGAGGAUUGCUGACAGUCUCCCUCGGUGACACUUCAUCCAAUUGGAUGUCGGGUUGGCCUGUGACAUAGAGCCAUGCAGCCAUACCAAAGUGCCCCCCAUUCCUAAAUGGCCAUUUUUAUUAGUUAUCUUUCUAGGUUAUCGUUAUGGUGAUAUUAGCAAUGUUCUGAUGUUUACCUUUUUCACUUUCAUUCUGCUGCGAGUGGAUGGAGGGAUUUUCCAGAAUUUCAUUAUGUGUGAUACGGCAACACAGAAAAUGAAUAUGCUGAUAUAAGAAGCAAGGUAACCCUCCUAAACGAAUUCAAUAUGUCUCCCAUCACGAAUCCAUGUAAAUAAGCAAAUGAGGCCCAGUUACAGUGUACAUACAGCUAAAUAAAAUUUUCAAGAAUCCAUUUAUUUUCCAGCUUCCUCGACUCUGAGAUCAUUAUUGCAAUUCAUUCUUUUUUCGCCCUGACGAUGAUCUUUUUAUUUCCUUUUGAACAGAAAAACCUUCCUUACUUCGAGGAAUGUGUCAGUAGGAUUAGGGAAUGUCCACGGAAACAGCUCAUGCCCUAGUGUACAGUGGUGCAGCCAAUGAGUGACCUGCAGUCUAUGAGCAACAGUCAUUGUCCCAAUUUGGAGGGAGUGACCCAGGCUGAACCCACAAGAGCCUUUCUGUGAUAUUCAGCAUGGCGGUUCAAGGGGCGGCGGUGUGAUUCUUUACCUGAUGUUUUAGUUUUCAGUAUUUGUAAUCAUGGUCAUUUAAGGAUAUGAAUUCAAAGCUAGGAGUAGUAUCUAUUCCUUGCCCCUAGCAUCAAGCUAUUCAGAGCAUUGUCAGUCAUUAGGAUAAGUAAGAUAACGCUUAUUUCCUCAAGAGAUUUGCAUAUUAAUAUUCAUGUUAAUGUUAAUAUGGCUACCUUUCAUUGUGCUUUCUUCUGGGUCCCAAGUCUACGUAUUUUUAGCAUUUUUUUUCUAUAAGUGUAUUGCUGAAUUUCAGAGCAGCUAGUGACUUUCCCAUUGCUUUUCUUUUCAGUGGAUUUCCAGCCGCUCGAGUAUGCGGACAAGAGAACAUACUCUGGGACUGCAACCCGUAGGAAUUUAUUAUGUUGUUCCUUGAAGCUCAGCUAUGGUAUGGCCAUUUCUAGCUCUCCUGAUUCACGGAAGAUGUUGAUCAGAACUGAAGCCAGGAGCCAGACCGCCAGGUCGUUUGAUGCCCAGGAGCCCUCGGCAGCCAUGUCAGGGAGUUCCUGCUCUCGCCAGGGUGGCUUAGCCCAGGAUAACAGUAUAUUCUGAGAUGGGUGAGAAUUGUUCCACACGUGGCCAGUCAUUCUUCCGGCAUAAUGGACUUGGGCUCAGGAGGUCUGUCUCCCUUCAAGGAUCAUGAGCUGAAAUUGCUAAACUUUGGGAGUUUUCAGUAACACCCUUCAAAGUGCUCACGGUGUGACAUGGAUCAGCUGAGGAGGGCGGAUGCGCUUUUGCCCCGUGGGGCAUCUAUCUGUGUAACUUUCUCUGACCUAGGCCACAGGGGGCGCUUAGGCCCACAGACGCCCACUGUGAUUGGUUGACGAGAUGCCACGCAACGGGACCAUCCAGUCACCUUCAACGCAGGAAGAUUUCAUCCAAUCAGACGUGAAGCUGGCCCCUGACGUGGAGCCAUGCUGCGUACCCAAGCGUCCCCGCUUCCCCAGUCCACAACUGCCAUUGUCUGGUCGUGUCAGCUAAUGGCUGCUGUCUCCGCCAUGGCUGGACCUUCCUCUGAGAUGACCUCUGAGGAACAGCUGAUCACCCAGGAGCCCAAAGAGGCUCCUGACUCCACGACUGCCCAGAAGCAGAGGAAGCAAGGGCGCCGUGGGCCCCGCAAGUGCCACGCCAACUGCCGCGGGGACAGCUUCGCCACCUAUUUCCACCGGGUGCUGAAGCAGGUUCACCAGGGCCUCAGCCUUUCCCGGGAGGCCGUGAGUGUCAUGGAUUCCUUGGUUCAUGACAUAUUGGGCCGCAUCGCCACUGAGGCUGGUCACCUGGCCCGCUCCACCAAGCGCCAGACCAUCACCACCUGGGAGAUCCGGACCACUGUGCGCCUGCUGCUGCCGGGGGAGAUGGGCAAGCUCGCUGAGUCCAAAGGCACGAAGGCUGUCCUCAGUUACACCAGGAGCAAGUACACUCCCUCAGGAGUGCCCGAGCACCACGGAAACCCAAAGGGACUUUUUAGAGCCACCGAACGUGGCCCAAAAGACCAGUAGCUCACCAAGGGGGGGGCCCCACCAGAGGUUGCGGUAGGUGGUGCCCUUCCGACUUGAGGGGCAUGUGGGGUGUGGCAUCCUGUGAUUUUGCAAGCAUUUUUCCCUCAGUACGAAACAUUGUCAACUCCGAUAUAUCUGCAGUGCAGUUUGCUCCAAGGAAAAGUAGUGGGUGUUUCCGUGAUCAUGUUUCAUUUCCUCAGUUUCCAAAAUGGUCAUUUUUAUUAGUUAUGUUUCUAGGUUAUCUAUAUGGUGAUAUUAUUAUUGCACUGAUUUUUACCUUUUUCUCUCUCAUUCUCCUGCGACUGGAUGGUGGAAUUUUCCAGAACUUCACUAUAUGCCGUACAGGAACAGAAAAAAUGAAUACGCUGAUAAAAGAAGCAAGAAUAUUAGGAAAAUGUUAUGAAAAUAGUUGAAGAGAAAUGCUCACUGCACAAGGAGACCAGGAAAAACCCCCGUGAAAUCAGCCACAACUAAAUCCCUCAGGACCGUGCUGCCAGGUGGUCCUACAUGUUCGGAGCAACACUUUGAAAACCAAAGACGCUUGGCAGAACUCUGUUGCUUUCCAGAGACAGAGCUGCGUACCUGGUCCAAAACACCACAUCUCACUCAGUGACUUAUUUCUCAUUAUGCUAAUUGUUUUGCUAUAAAGUGCCAAUCUUUCUGUCAAAUGGGACAUACGAAUAAAUUUCUAAAGUUA